rnacentral:rRNA from 1 species
UGCUACCUGCAGUCGACGGAAAGGCCCUUCGGGGUGCUCGAGUGGCGAACGGGUGAGUAACACGUGGGUGAUCUGCCCUGCACUUUGGGAUAAGCCUGGGAAACUGGGUCUAAUACCGAAUAGGACUCCGGCCUUCAUGGGUUGGGGUGGAAAGCUUUUGCGGUGUGGGAUGGGCCCGCGGCCUAUCGGCUUGUUGGUGGGGUAAUGGCCUACCAAGGCGACGACGGGUAGCCGGCCUGAGAGGGUGACCGGCCACACUGGGACUGAGAUACGGCCCAGACUCCUACGGGAGGCAGCAGUGGGGAAUAUUGCACAAUGGGCGCAAGCCUGAUGCAGCGACGCCGCGUGAGGGAUGACGGCCUUCGGGUUGUAAACCUCUUUCAGCACAGACGAAGCGCAAGUGACGGUAUGUGCAGAAGAAGGACCGGCCAACUACGUGCCAGCAGCCGCGGUAAUACGUAGGGUCCGAGCGUUGUCCGGAAUUACUGGGCGUAAAGAGCUCGUAGGUGGUUUGUCGCGUUGUUCGUGAAAACUCACAGCUUAACUGUGGGCGUGCGGGCGAUACGGGCAGACUGGAGUACUGCAGGGGAGACUGGAAUUCCUGGUGUAGCGGUGGAAUGCGCAGAUAUCAGGAGGAACACCGGUGGCGAAGGCGGGUCUCUGGGCAGUAACUGACGCUGAGGAGCGAAAGCGUGGGGAGCGAACAGGAUUAGAUACCCUGGUAGUCCACGCCGUAAACGGUGGGUACUAGGUGUGGGUUUCCUUCCUUGGGAUCCGUGCCGUAGCUAACGCAUUAAGUACCCCGCCUGGGGAGUACGGCCGCAAGGCUAAAACUCAAAGGAAUUGACGG